AUGAAGGUGUCUUAACAGAAAUACUGGUUAUUACCUGGUAGGGGAACUGUCCGAGGCUGGAGGCCUGACCACCAACAAUUCUGGAUGCGCUCUCUGCCUCCUCAGCUUUGCGGAUUUCGUCGGCAAGAGGUUUACCGAUCUUAGCCAAGUAUCCGUAGGCGGUGAUGUCGUCUAGGUCGAUGGCAUCCUCGACGUUGAUGUUUUUAGCGGUGGCCACCGCCGCCAGAGCCAAGAGUGUCAGAGCCAACUUCAUGUUGUCAGUAUUGAUGGAUCAAUGUGGCAUUGUCU